AUUUCUCAAUACUAACUCUCUCCUUGACUCGAUUCAAUCUGGCUUUUGCUCCCUCCAUUCUACUGAAACUGCCCUUACCAAACUGACUAACAAUAACAACUUAAUCACUGCUAAAUCUAAAUUUCAUUACUCUCUCUUAAUUCUCCUUGACCUCUCUGCUGCCUUUGAUACUGUCUACCACCCUCUUCUUCUUCAAACCCUCCACAACCUUGGACUUCGGAGAGAGCACUUCCUGUCAGUCCGGCUGGGUACAGAAAACUGAAGCUUCUGUAGGGGAUCUGCUCCACUCGGCAACGCUACAAGAGAGGUAGGAGGCAC